AUGCCUGAGACCGUUAAUGACGCCUGCGGCCUCCACACAGCACUGGUUGCCCUGGGACUGGUGCCCACAGCUCUCAGAGAUGUCUAUAAUUUACCGAAUUUCAGGAUCUAUCCAAGAGUCACUUCUGAAGGUCAACUAUUCGUCCAGGAGACAAAUCCUUCAAUAGGCAAAUCCUCCCAGAAUGCCUUCUCUGCGCCAGGCACCACGAGGACAGAGGAGAUUGGCCAUUUCUUUUGUUAUUUGUUCAUUCCCUGGAGGCUUAGGAAGAAACAGAAAACGGAAAUUAAAAUCAAAUUGGACCAUCAGGUACUCUGUCAUAUGCUGGUGACCAUGGAGAGACGUGAUGGAUUCCUCUUGCCCUGGAGAGAGAAAUACAUGCAAACAAUGAAGGACACAGAAGAGGAAGGUUCUACAGUCUGUGCCGGGGACCCGAACCAGGCUGUCACAUGGAAACUGAUGAGAUCAUCAGCCAAAAAUCUGAAGCCCAGGGUGAAAGGCUUUGUCCUGUACCCUACUUAUUCCUGGAACAUGGCACAUACCAAGGCUGGGAAUGGGAAUGGGAUUUGGGAAUGGGACUCAAGGCAAUGGAGGUGAUAGAUUCUUUUAGCACAGAGACACAUGGCAAACACGUCAGGAGGGGAACAGGUGAAAAUCUACUCACCUUGUCACUAUCCCACCUGCACCCCCACCCCACUCAGGGUGGAGCUAGAUAUAGCCGAAUGUUUGCCAAACCUUGGCAGGGGCUGAAGAGAAGAAUGUAAAGAACUAAGGACAGAGUAUAUAGGAUGAAGGGGUUAUGGGAAAGAGGAGAAGGAAGAGAAAGUCUAGGUUGAAUGAACUACUGCCUUCCUCCCUAGCCCAACCCUGACACCCAACUCUCUGCACCGUCUAAAGAUACUAGAAGCUGCAGCACAAACCAGAAUAAAUGAUUGUUUUCAUACA
rnacentral:lncRNA from 12 species